AUUGCUCUAUUUAAAGGAGCACAAGAACAACCACAGAGGCAAAGCUUAACACUUGCCAAUAAAACUAACAGAGGGGGGGAUGGCAGAACCAGCCCAAGUCCCACUUUCACGUCUCGUUGUCCCCAUCCUCCUCGCAGUUGGCUGGAUCGUGGGUUGUGCACUAAUGGUUUACAUUGUCUUCUCUUGAUAGAAGACAGAAGAAUUUACAGUUAUGUUGAGUCGAAGAACCUGGAAGUUAAAUUGAAAUUUCUAAUGAAUACAAUAUGUAUAAAAUGAGUUAUUUUUAAUAUCAACACUGCAAACAUGGUGUAUGCUUUUUAUCCACAACAAAGGUUUGAAAUGCUGAUGAGAGCAUUAGGAAGAAUCAUCAAACCAAUUUCCCAGUUUUUGAGUGGUUUGUAAUUGAGUGAGUAGUUCCUGGGGUCCAGUAGGUCAGAUACCUGCCGGUUCUGCAGCCUGCUUUCUUGUCACCAGCUUGAAUUUAAGCGGUUUUGGAAACAACAUUCCCAGAGUUAGUGAUGCAGUGGUGGACAAAAAUGUGAGUUAAGUUUGGUUGUGGGAUGUGGGGAGCUGGGGAAGAAGUAUCUCAAUAUAUUUGGGAAAGUUUUGAGUUAAGACUUUUAAAAAAGUUUUUUAGUAAAAAAUAAAUUGUUAAAUGUAAAACA
ensembl:lncRNA